rnacentral:lncRNA from 1 species
GGGUCAAUAAGGUUCAAAUAAGGGUGCAAUUAAGACAAGGCAAGGUUGUUGUUGUUAAGUAUUUAGUUCACAAAAAAGUCUAAAUCCUCUCAAAAGUUAAAUCAAUCAAGUAGCAUUAAAAAGAGUAUAAUCAAGUUCUGAAUCACAUUAUAAGUAUGAGUAAAUCACAUAAUGAAGAAAUUUUGCUCAAAGCUUACUAAGGUUAGAUUCAUCGAAUUUGAUUCAUUAUUUAAUUUCUCAUGAGAAUCCAACCAAACAUAGAGUAUGAACAUGUCAAUCGGGUUUAAAAGCUCUAACUAAGGGUGGAGAAUCAAAAUUAGUCCCUAUGCUAAAAAACUUUUUUCUCAAUUAAAUGCAACAAUAAAGACUAAACAAGACAAAAUCAUAGCACUAACAAACAUGACUAAGACAACAAAGCAAACAUACUUAAUAGCUCGACAAAUCGAUAACAAGUCUAGGCAAUUCGACAGCUUGGUAGACUAGCAGUUGGUGGGCUCGGUUGUAAAUCCUAAACAAAAAACAGAAAAACAUGAAAUAAAAAUGAAAACCCCUUUAUAAAUCUUUUUACCUAAAUCCUUUGAUAAAUAGAGAGCCAAAUUUCCUACACUAGUGAUUUUUUUUAUAGAUUAAGUGGGAGAUAAAUGAGAAGAAUAAGAGAAGAAGAGAUAAAGGAGAAGGAGGAGGACAAGCCAAAGCUAGUGACGAUGGUGAUGGCAAAGGUGCAACAACAACACAUAACAUUACGAUGAUAGAGUGGUCGUGGAGGUCACAACAAUAGUGAUAAUCGAAGGUAGAGAAGGAGACGAAUAAGAAGAGGAGAAUAAAAAGGAAAAAGAAAAGAGAUGACGAAAAUAACAACAGAGGAGGAAGUGGGCAAAGAGGAGAGGAGGAAAAAGAAGAGGAAUUAUAAGAAGACAAAAAGGAAAAAAAAAGGGAGAAAGAGAAAAAAGAAGACCUAAUUGUGAUAUUUAUUAAUGUAUUUUAUGGAUAAAUGUUUGGCUGUCGGCAAUUUGUUAGUAAACUCAAAUUAUUGAGGAUUUUUCAAUAUUGUUAAUAGAUUUUGUUCUUUAAGGACUAAGAUACUCUUAAUCCCUGAACUUUUCCUAACCAUUCAUGCAAUGUCGAUCGUCCUCUUCAAGCACUCGUUCGUUCAUUCUUUUUGUCUCUGCCAACUAGUUACUUGCAAAAGGUAAUUUGAAC